rnacentral:lncRNA from 1 species
UGACCUUUAGUUUUAAUGAUGACAAUGCAUUAUUUCUUAGAGAAUAAUUUUGUACCCUAAUGGUUUUAACUAGUCUGUAGCUUUUUCUAACUGGUUCUGAUUCUUAAGAUUUAGCAUGUGAUGUCAUCAGAUUAUGGACUCAACACACUAUGACUCUGAAGAGAUACAAGAUGAUGUCAACUUGUAGAACGCUCUUAGAUAACAGUUUUG